ACACACACACACACACACAAGGUAUAACACACACACACACACACACACACACAAGGUAUAACACACACACACACACACACACACAAGGUAUAACACACACACACACACACACACACACACAAGGUAUAACACACACACACACACACACACACACACACACACACACACAAGGUAUAACACACACACACACACACACACACACAAGGUAUAACACACACACACACACACACACACACACACACAAGGUAUAACACACACACACACACACACACACACAAGGUAUAACACACACACACACACACAAGGUAUAACACACACACACACACACACAAGGUAUAACACACACACACACACACACAAGGUAUAACACACACACACACACACACAAGGUAUAACACACACACACACACACACAAGGUAUAACACACACACACACACACACAAGGUAUAACACACACACACACACACACAAGGUAUAACACACACACACACACACACACACAC